rnacentral:ribozyme from 1 species
AAUUGAUGUUUUUGCUUGUGUUGCUUGUUCGUUGUUCGAGUUAUUUUUAAUUCUUUUUAGAUGCUCGCCUGUUGUUUGUUGUUGAUUUUACUGGCUAUAAUUAUAGGACCACUCUUUGAUGUCACAAUUUUGUA